rnacentral:snoRNA from 1 species
AUCCCAUUAUGAAGACACUUACGAAGUAACUCAUUGAAUCACUCCCAAGCCUCAUACAAAGACUCGUCAUGCAAUUAUUGGAAAGUUGUUAUCUCAUUCCUCAACUU